CAGCCCCGAGUCGCGGCUGACCUUGAACUCGUCCUCGCAUUCCUGAAGAAACUGAACCUAUAUUGGAUGAGGCUGCGGUGCAAAAUAUAUUUUUGAAGUCCCUAGACAACUAUAUAAAGUGGUGUAACUACUUGUGCAUUCAGCCAGUUUGGAGCAAUUUGCAGUCAGUUAGCAAGGAGAAAAAGCUACUGUUUGAUUCCAUGUACUAUUUGAUCUGGGGUGAAGCAGCCAAUGUUAGAUUUCUUCCAGAAUGGUUGUGCUACAUAUUUCAUCAUGUAAGUGAACCUUUUAUUGAAUAACUGGAAUUGAUCGUUAGUUUUUGUUUACUUCUCUCUCGUAACAUCCUUCUGCAUGGUUCACCCAAUUUAGUUU